GAGUUUGAUCGUGGCUCAGAACGAACGCUGGCGGCGUGGAUAAGACAUGCAAGUCGAACGGGAGAAUUGCUAGCUUGCUAAUAAUUCUCUAGUGGCGCACGGGUGAGUAACACGUGAGUAACCUGCCCCGAGAGCGGGAUAGCCCUGGGAAACUGGGAUUAAUACCGCAUAGUAUCGAAAGAUUAAAGCAGCAAUGCGCUUGGGGAUGGGCUCGCGGCCUAUUAGUUAGUUGGUGAGGUAACGGCUCACCAAGGCGAUGACGGGUAGCCGGUCUGAGAGGAUGUCCGGCCACACUGGAACUGAGACACGGUCCAGACACCUACGGGUGGCAGCAGUCGAGAAUCAUUCACAAUGGGGGAAACCCUGAUGGUGCGACGCCGCGUGGGGGAAUGAAGGUCUUCGGAUUGUAAACCCCUGUCAUGUGGGAGCAAAUUAAAAAGAUAGUACCACAAGAGGAAGAGACGGCUAACUCUGUGCCAGCAGCCGCCGUAAC
rnacentral:rRNA from 1 species